UACGUAGGGGGCUAGCGUUGUCCGGAAUCAUUGGGCGUAAAGCGCGUGUAGGCGGUCCGGUAAGUCCGCUGUGAAAGUCGGGGGCUCAACCCUCGGAUGCCGGUGGAUACUGUCGGGCUUGAGUACGGAAGAGGCGAGUGGAAUUCCUGGUGUAGCGGUGAAAUGCGCAGAUAUCGGGAGGAACACCUAUGGCGAAGGCAGCUCGCUGGGACGUUACUGACGCUGAGACGCGAAAGCGUGGGGAGCAAACAGG
rnacentral:rRNA from 1 species